CCCCGCUGAAAGCCACGGGGCGUUCAAUUAGCCAUCUGGUAGCACGAGCGACAGCAGCCGUUUGUCCGGGCAGCCUGAUGACGCCGACCUCUGGGAUGAGGACAGCAACCAUUUUAUGUUUUGGUCACCUGGGGAUACCGGACAGAUCAACCCGAGAUUCAGAAGAAUCGGCAAAAAUGGCGGACUCUUCCUGAGGUCAACGGACAACGCAACUUCAGGGGUCAUUGUGGCCUGAAGCU